UUGGAUCUGGGUAUUGUUCUUCUUUCCUAGACGCUCAUUCCCUUGUCGUAUUUCUGGCCUCCCUCCCCCAUUCCUCAACCUCACCAUUCAUCUCUCAAUAUUGAGGGAUUGAGUUGAUUUUACGGUGUCUGAAGCAAAAAAGAACGUGAUAAUUGAUGUUGAGCUUUGUGAAUCAUUCUCUACAGUUAGCAUAAUUUUUUGUUGCUUAUUGGUGCAGAAUAUGAAGGGUUGAUGGCUUGCUAGACAAAGAAAGUCGUGUUAGGGAACUACUUAUGGGAAAAGAUGACGAGACAGCAAAAAGGGUAGAGGUAAUUAUGAGGCUCUCGGGCCAUGUUAAGUUAAUGGUCAUACACAGACCACUGAGAAAAGGAAGAAUAAAAUACCUUAACUAAGAAGCUCUUUGGGAUGUUAUAAAAACAAAGAAAAGGAGGAACAGAGGAAAGGAAAAUGUUGAUCCCAAUACUUGCAUUCCUUCAACAAAGAA